ensembl:snRNA U6 U6 spliceosomal RNA
GUGCUGGCUUCAGGAGCUCACCCACUAAAACUGGAACAGUACAGAGAAGACCGUGCCCCUGCACAAGGGUGGCAAGCAAAUUCGUGCAGCAUUCCACACCUUA